UUUUGCUCAACUCUAUAAAUCAAAUUUUUGUAGGGUUAUGAAGAUUGAAUCGGUUUGAUUACGAUGAUUGAUUCACUUUUACAGAGAUUAAGUUGAUUCAGAGACUGAUUGAUUUACAAAGACUGAUUUUGAAUUUGCAGAGCUGAUUUGGUUACAAAGAUUUGAUAUUCGAAGUAUGAUUUUAAGAACUCGGAUUUUUGAUUCUACAAAGAUGAUUUGAUUACGAAGAUUCCUUAAUUGAAGAUUGAUUUUAUAUCAUAUGAAGAUCCGAUUUGAUUUACAAAGGUUAAAUUUGAAUUUUUGAUUAGGGGAGAUUGAUUAAAUUUUACAGAGAAUAAUUUGAUUUUUGGUUGCGAAGAUUUGACUUGAUUCGAUUAAGGAUAAAUUUUGAAGUAAGUAGGGAUUUCUUCUUGUUUCUGGUUCGUUAUGUCUCUCUCAUACCAUAAGAUUUAGUCAUGGUGAAGGUUGUGAGAAAGUGUUUAUCAGUUAUGAUUUUUCUCUCCAAGGUCUAACUGUUGUUUCUUGAUCGAAAGUUUCUCAUGGUGCCGCUUCCAGCGAUUUAUCUGGUAUUUUCGUGCAGUGGCUCAGUGACGAUGAAUGAUGUAGUGAGUUUACUGAGACUUUAAAGAUUAAAUGCCUGACGAAAGGUCAUGAUGUAUUAAAACCUCCUUUAUCUAAUGGUUGGGAAGACAUUUUU